UGUUGGGCUUUUGGUUUUGAUUUAGACUUAUUAAAUUUUUUAAUAGUUUCAUUAUUUAGGCUGCAGAAUUGUUGUUGGACUUAGUCUCGAUGGAUCAUGAUUUAAAAGGGAUGUGAUAAAUGAGUUUGAUUCAAAAUUAGACUAAAUAAAUCAUGAAAGAUAGUCUUUUUUUAAAAAAAAAAAUUUACUCUGAGAUUUUGUCACAUAUUCUCCUAAACAUGAAUAUCAUACAAAGAAAUAACAUCAAUCUGACUCAUCUAAACGAGGCCUCAAAGAAAUAAAGAAAAA
rnacentral:lncRNA from 1 species